GGGCCGCGCGAACGCCGGUGGCGGCGGUUGCGCAGUGGCGCUACAUCCGGGCACUGGGGCAGGAUGAAUGCUCCUUUCCAAGAUGGCGGCGGAGGGAGGAGGGAAGGAGAUGAACGAGAUUAAGACCCAGUUCACCACCCGGGAGGGGCUGUACAAGCUGCUGAGCCACUCGGAGUACAGCCGGCCUAACCGGGUGCCUUUCAACUCGCAGGGCUCCAACCCGGUCCGCGUUUCCUUCGUCAACGUCAACGACCAGAGCGGCAACGGGGACCGGCUCUGCUUCAAUGUGGGCCGGGAGCUCUACUUUUACAUCUACAAGGGGGUCCGCAAGGCUGCGGACUUGAGUAAACCAAUAGACAAAAGGAUAUACAAAGGAACACAACCUACAUGCCAUGACUUCAAUCACUUAACAGCCACAGCAGAAAGUGUGUCUCUUCUAGUGGGCUUCUCUGCAGGCCAGGUCCAACUUAUAGACCCUAUUAAAAAAGAAACUAGCAAAUUAUUUAAUGAGGAAAGACUAAUAGACAAGUCCAGAGUAACCUGUGUAAAAUGGGUACCAGGUUCGGAAAGCCUUUUCCUAGUAGCUCAUUCCAGUGGCAAUAUGUACUUGUAUAACGUGGAGCACACUUGUGGUACCACAGCCCCGCACUACCAGCUACUUAAACAAGGAGAAAGUUUUGCAGUUCACACUUGCAAGAGUAAAUCCACAAGAAACCCUCUGCUUAAAUGGACAGUAGGUGAGGGGGCCCUGAAUGAAUUUGCCUUUUCUCCAGAUGGGAAGUUCUUGGCGUGUGUGAGCCAGGAUGGUUUUCUUCGUGUGUUUAACUUUGAUUCGGUGGAAUUGCAUGGUACAAUGAAAAGCUACUUUGGAGGACUGCUGUGUGUUUGUUGGAGUCCCGAUGGGAAAUACAUAGUGACAGGUGGAGAGGAUGACUUGGUAACAGUUUGGUCUUUCGUGGACUGUCGGGUAAUAGCGAGAGGCCACGGACAUAAAUCGUGGGUCAGUGUUGUUGCGUUUGAUCCGUAUACCACUAGUGUAGAAGAGAGUGACCCGAUGGAAUUUAGCGGAAGUGAUGAGGAUUUCCAAGACCUUCAUUUUGGCAGAGAUCGAGCAAAUAGUACGCAAUCUAGGCUAUCCAAAAGGAACUCUACAGACAGUCGUCCAGUGAGUGUUACGUAUAGAUUUGGUUCGGUAGGCCAGGACACACAGCUCUGUUUGUGGGAUCUUACAGAAGAUAUCCUCUUCCCCCACCAACCUCUCUCAAGAGCAAGGACACAUACAAAUGUCAUGAAUGCCACAAGUCCACCUGCUGGAAGUGGUGGAACUAACCCAGGAAGUAAUGGAAACAGUAUCACAACACCUGGAAACUCUGUACCCCCUCCUCUUCCACGGUCAAACAGCCUUCCACACUCUGCAGUCUCAAAUGCUGGCAGUAAAAGCAGUGUCAUGGAUGGUGCCAUUGCUUCUGGUGUUAGUAAAUUUGCAACCUUAUCGCUACAUGAUCGGAAGGAAAGACACCAUGAAAAAGAUCACAAGAGAAAUCAUAGCAUGGGACAUAUAUCUAGCAAGAGCAGUGACAAACUGAACCUAGUUACUAAAACCAAAACGGACCCAGCUAAAACUUUGGGAACACCUCUCUGUCCCCGAAUGGAAGAUGUUCCCUUGUUAGAGCCUCUUAUCUGUAAAAAGAUAGCACAUGAAAGACUGACUGUGUUAAUUUUUCUUGAAGACUGUAUAGUCACUGCUUGUCAGGAGGGAUUUAUUUGCACAUGGGCAAGGCCUGGUAAAGUGGUAAGUUUUAAUCCUUAAUGCUGCAUCAAAGAACUAGAACUCUGAAUAGGUAGUUUUCUUGAAAUAUAAAUGAAUGUUGAAUAUAAAAUUUCUUUAUGCUUAAUGUAAAAAAAAAAAAAAAAAAUCCUCAGAGCCAUACUUUUGGAUACUGCAUGCCAUAUUUCUGAAUGAUUUGAAGUGUCUUGGAUACAAUUAAGUAUAGUUGCCUUCCAGCAGAAGAAGUAAAUACUGUGCAUCUAAACUAUUGAUCAAUGCUCUUAAGCAUAACCACAAUAUGGUGAAAGCUAUUUAUGUAAAAAUUGAAGUAAAACUUGUCAAUCUAAAAUAAUUAUAAUCCUUCUAAUGUUUUCUACAAAAUACAGCACUCCCAAUGAAAGUAGCUUAUGAAAAGCUUUUGCUUUUAAGUCUAAUGAGAAACGUGAGCCUCUGAAAAAACUAAAACCAAAGUGUUUUGUUCCUCCAUCCUUUUCUGUGGUGGCCUGCCAUUAAUGUAAAACCAUUUCUUAUUAAACCGUCAGCCAUUUUAUGCACAGAUUUGUGAGCCCUUUACUGACUGUAGUUUAUGCUCUUGAAAUUGAAUCAGUGUUAUCAAGGAACUCUGAUUUUUUGAUUUAUGUAUUUGUUAAGUUAGGGAAAAAUCAUGCAAGCUUUCUCUAAGUAGUUUCAAUGUUAUGUUACUGUCAGUUUUGUUAGGCAAUUUGAUCAUCGACAAUCUCGUGCUUUUUGGCACUUGUUCUAUCAGUUGAACCUUCAUUAAAAUAUAUUAACUAGUGUUAACUCUUGUUGUUAAUGCACUUGAACACAGAUUAAAAAUUUGUUUUUCUUCUGUCCAAUGUAUAGCAAGCUAAAUUUUGAAUGAAGCUAAACGUGGUGAUUAUUUUAUUAAAAAAUACUUUGUGCUACGAUAGCUUUGUUUGUCAGCAACAUCUUAAAGGAAUACAGCUAUGAAAACAUUUCCAGAGUUGAUCUAGCAAAAAGGACCAUUAUUUUUAUGAAAAUUUCUGAAAGGACAUGUAGGUUAUCACUUGAAGAAAAAGAAAUAAUCUGUGAAUACCUGAAUAUUGCCAUGUUGGGCAACCUAAAUGAAAUCUGCUGUUCAUUAGGGUUUAACCAUUUGGUUCAUAAAUCUGACUUGAAGUGGAGGUACUAUAUAUAUUUAUAUACUGCAUCUUCAUUGCUAUAAACUUUUAAGUAAAACUCAAUUUUUUUUUUAAACUGUUUGUAUAAGUUUCUUUGAGAUAUUAGCAAAUUUGCCACAACAUAGGUAUGCAUAGAGAGCUAUGUCCACUCUGCAUCUUAAUGCAUAUUUAAAGGUUGAAUCUAAAACUAAAAGUUGUAAACCCUUUUCUGGAGAGAAGGGUGUCAUCUAAUAGUAUUUUAUGCCUAAGAACUAUGGAUCUAGCAUUAAUUUAAGGAGGGGGGGGGGGGGGAAAAGCAGUCCCCAAAACUACUUAAACUAUUUAAAAUGUUUGUCCUAAAUGAAAAUACUAAAGCAGUUACCGCUUCUGUGACUCAGUGCAAUUCACGUGUCUUAUGAAUUAACUUUAUAAGCAUACAGCAGUGCCUCAGAUUUCUAUUGUGACCUAUAUUUUCUUUUUGUUCUAAGACUCCUUUGCGUACUACUAAACACUACACUGUUAAACUUAUUUUCAGUGGCUGAGGUGGGUUUUGUUAGACUGGGUAUAACUUAAAUAUUUAUGUAUAUUGACUUUGAUUUGGAAUAUGACAUUUCAAAUAUUUCAGAGAUAAAGUAUGCAGUACCAAAAAUCAGGAUUUAUGUAUUGGCCAAUAUGGAAAACUUUAAUUACAGGGUUUAUUGUCAUCCCAAAACCAGGCCAAUUCUCCAAGUGGAACUGUAGUAUAGCCAUCACACUACUGCUAGCAAAUCUCUGAACGCAGGACAAGAAGUAAUGACAGUGGAACCAGGAGCUGUUCUUCAGGCAAAGAGCAUCACAAAUUAUAAUGUGGCAGAGUGUAAACAUGGAAUUAUGUGAAUCACAUAGUAAUUUGCAGAGGAAUAAUGUAAUGAGUUCUUAUUACAGCUAAUAUUACUAGGCUGCUCACCCAAGGAAGAGUUUUCAUGUAAAAAAAAAAAAAAAAAAAAAGCUUCCUUUGGUGCUGCAGGACAAAAUAGUAACACUUUUGGUUUUCUUUAUGCUUUUCAAGUCCAGUGUAAUUUAAUCUCUCUAUAUAAAUAUAUAAAUAAAAGACAUAUAUAUAUAUAUAGUGUAAAAUAAAGUAUGUUUUCUUAAAUUCAAGUAAGUUCAAUGGUUAAACUAGUACUUCACCAUUGUUUAUUUUGCACUGAUUUUUUUUAACCAGAGAUGGCUAGAAGACAGCCUGGAAUGCACUCAUGGAAAAUGAAAGUCAUUACUUUCUGGCUUCAAAAUGUUAUUCAGGAAGAUGGAUGCUGCAAUCAUAGAUUUUUAAAACAAAAUUGUUUUGCACUUAAAUAGUUUAAUGCUAAUAGAGAAUUACUUUAAAAUUGGUGCCCAGACACCAGAGAAACUAUGUUGUGGAGAGAAGAUCCUUUGUAUCUAUUAAACAUUUAUUUUAAUAUUGUUGUUUCCAACUGCAAUCGGCUCUGUAUUAUAUGUAUAAAUAAUGUAAUUCAGUGGUGGGGAAGGGGAGUAAUGGAUCAUUACACUAGAAAUUCUCAUUCAUUUAAGAAAGUGAUAUUUCUAAUUCAGAAAAUACAUAUUAAACUAUCUUGAAUAUGCAUUUUUGUUUACUUUCUGUUCAAAUUCAAUCACUUUUGAUGUAACCAAUCCUUUGUUGAAUUAAAUGUUUGGUACAGAAAUAUCAUCUAAGCUUUGUAGAACAAAUUCCUUUCAAAAAUCUCUCAUCUAAAACAUUGCUUUGUAUUUAACAUAGUUGAAUUUCAAUUAGAAAGUGAAAUAACAUUGUUCUGUUCUCAUUCUUAAUGGUUUUAUCUUGAAAUACAUCAUACAGCAGAAAUCUUGCAGACAGACAGCUUUGUGGGGUAAGGAUUUUGUAAUGGCAUAGUCCCAUCCAUUUGUCUGAGGAGUUGUGAAGUGAAAGAUCCGGCAGUAGUAGACAUACACACUUUCUGACUUGGCAAUCUAAAAUUAGGUCACCAUUGUGGCGUAGAUGCGUUUCUGAGACAACUUGUUUGUUUUCAAUCAGGCAUCGCAUUUAUAAUUCACCGCUCUUAAACUGAUAAGCGUUACGGAGACAGACAUACCCAUGUAGCUGUGUAGUUUAAUGCUGCUUGUCUGAGCACACGUUAUUUUUCAUCACUCAGCAACAGAACACUGAAAUUUUUUUCAGUAGCUCUUGCAAAAAAGAUUAACCCCCCCAAGAGAUGUUGCUCCGUGUCAGGACCCAGAACAACACAAGACAGCUGUACCUGCCCUGUCUUUCCCUUUACCCUUUGUAGCAAUAUUCGCAAUUGGGCUUUUGCUGAAUCUUGUAGCCGGGCUUCAGGCAGGCAGCGGGGAACCUGCCUGGGAGCAGGGAACUUGCCCCAGUAAGCACACGCCCUAUCUGAGGGCACAUGUUAAUGCCCUUCUUGCUCUCUAAGGAUAAAGCUGCGUAAAAUUUUUUAAAUUGCAAGUAAAUGUGAGACAUUUUCAGGCAUGAGAAGUUAAUUUUUUUUCAGAAAAUGAAUGAAAAUUUGGGGAGAAACAACUUGUGACUAAGUCUUAUUCUUGUAAAGCAGCUAGCAUGUAGAAAACUGCCAGACACAUUUAUAAGCCAGCAUUUAGGUUGUGUGCUUUAUUAAAGAUGGCGCUGUGCUUUACAAUCCUUAUCUACUUACAUUCUUCUAAAAUAUGAAGAAUAGGGAAAAUACUGAAACUAAGCAGGAUUAUUGUUCAGAAGUUUUGAUUUAUUAACAUAGUGGGUUUAACUGUUAAAAUACAGAUAAACCUCGUCACUGAAACUAGUGCGUUAUCUCCCUGUAUGCUUCCUGUAUAUAAGUGCUUCGUAUGGUUUGAGUCAAAGUGAAACAGUUGAGAAAAUAUGUAAUAACUUUAAAAGACUUUUUUUUUUCCUUCAGCUGGAAAAAUACAAAACCAAUACUGAAAGGGCCAUAGCAUCCAACAUUAGCAGCUACUCACAUAUGCAUUUGUAGAGUACAUCCCCACUACAAAUCAUAGUUGAACAGUGUACAAGGACUGAAUGUGGGUUUUUUCAGCCUCUUCUUUAUUACCAGGCAAUCAUCUAGAAGCUUGAACUGCCCACCCCACCCUCUAUUCCAUAUGGAAAAAAAUUUUUUUUAGGAAGAAAAAGGAUACUAAUAACUUACCUGGAAAGAACUUAGAGUUCUACUAUAGAUACAGCUCUUAAUGAGUAACUUUUUCUUACUAUGUUAAAAAAAAAAAAAAAGUGGAACACAGAUCAUCUCAAUACAGAAUUUUAGCUGGAAGAACAGUACUUGCCAGUUUGUAGUUUAAAGCUGAGUGUAUUUUAAUGAUAAAGCAGGUGGGAAGACGCAAGGUUUGCCUACUAAUCCAACAGCCAGCGAAGUGUAAGUUGUC